rnacentral:lncRNA from 1 species
AUGCGCGCGCCCACCGGCCGUGCCGUGUGCAGCGGGCAGCGGCGCGGGGCCAGCGCGUGCGCGGUUGCCGGGGCGACUGGAACACAACAUGGCGGCCUGAGGGGAGCGCCGGGAGUGGGGCCGGGUCGGGCCCGGCCGCUGAUCCGCCAGCCCCGGCACCGGCGGGACGGCGCGGGAGGCACAGUAAGAGGUUUCCAGUCUCUUUUUCUUGGAUAUAAUGAGCUGGACCACAUCUCAAAAAUCCAUGAAGUGAUAGGCACUCCUGGUAACAAAACUCCAAAAGUUCAAGCAGUGGAUCUUACUCAGUUUGGCACAUACAGUACUUCAAGGAUAUUGAUUUCCUAACAAGUUCCUUGCUCUGGAGACAACUUACACUUCUCUGGCUGUUGGAUGAAUAGGCAAACUUGAGUUUUCCCACCUGCUUUAUAGUUAAAAUGCACCCAAACUUUAAACUACAAACUGGCAAGUAUAGCUCCUACCCUCAUUCUUCCAGCUAAAAUUCCAUACUGAGAUUAUCUGUGUUCUGCUCACUUUUAAUUAUUUUUUUAAUGUAAUAGGAGAAAUAUUUUUAUUAAAAGCUGUAUCUACAGUAGAGGUCUUAAGUUCCUUCCAGGUAAGUUAUUAGUACCCUGUUUCUUAAUAAAAUAAUUUUCUACCAUAUGGAAUAGAGUGUG